UCUGGGAUUAGAUACCCUGUUAUUUAAAAUGUAUUUAAAAAUUAAGGUAGUAUUAGUUAUGUUCUUUAAACUUAAAAAAUUUGGCGGUAUUUUAGUCUGUUCAGAGGAACCUGUUCUAUAAUCGAUAAUCCACGAUGGACCUAACUUAAUUUUGUAAUCAGUUUAUAUACCGUUGUUAUUAGAAUAUUUUAUAAGAAAGUUAAUUUUCGUAAUUUUAUAAUUUAAAAUUAUAUCAGAUCAAGGUGUAGCUUAUAUUUAAGUAGAAAUGGGUUACAAUAAAAUUAUUUAUAUGAAUAUAAAUUUGCAAUAUUUAUUGAAGGUGGAUUUGAUAGUAAAAUUAUAAAGAUAAAUAAUUUGAUUUUAGCUCUAAAAUAUGUACAAAUCGCCCGUCACUCUCUGA
rnacentral:rRNA from 1 species